CGACUUGAAAUGUGAAGAUGUACCGCCUCUUUGCUGUGCCCUGCUGCUCAAGUGUUCUCAGCUUUGACAAUUUAUCAUGCUGGAAAAUGUCUUCAGAAUGUCAGUCACUUCAGCUCCAUGCCUGCCAUUUGCAUGUGGCACACCUGCUGGAGAGAAUCCAGAGGAGAAUGUCUCCCUGCGUGAGGUCAAUCAGCUGUACUCUGCCAUUCUGCACUGCACCCCGAGGUUUCAGUGCCGCACACUUUUAGCAGUGCUGGAUGCAAGCCCUCCGUUACUGCACCAGGGCUAUGCCUGGCUGCCUGCUGCCAUGCUUCCUGCCAAGGUGCUGAUGGACUCACACUCUGAAAACUGUCAGCAA